CCUACGGGGGGCAGCAGUGGGGAAUAUUGGUCAAUGGACGAGAGUCUGAACCAGCCAAGUAGCGUGAAGGAUGACUGCCCUAUGGGUUGUAAACUUCUUUUAUAUGGGAAUAAAAUGUUCCACGUGUGGGAUUUUGUAUGUACCAUAUGAAUAAGCAUCGGCUAACUCCGUGCCAGCAGCCGCGGUAAUACGGAGGAUCCGAGCGUUAUCCGGAUUUAUUGGGUUUAAAGGGAGCGGAGGUGGAGUGUUAAGUCAGUUGUGAAAUUUUGCGGCUCAACCGUACAAUUGCAGUUGAAACUGGCAGUCUUGAGUACAGUAGAGGUAGGCGGAAUUCGUGGUGUAGCGGUGAAAUGCUUAGAUAUCACGAAGAACUCCGAUUGCGAAGGCAGCUCACUGGACUGCAACUGACACUGAGGCUCGAAAGUGUGGGUAUCAAACAGGAUUAGAUACCCGGGUAGUC
rnacentral:rRNA from 1 species